rnacentral:rRNA from 1 species
UACGAAGGGGGCUAGCGUUGCUCGGAAUUACUGGGCGUAAAGAGCGCGCAGGCGGUCGUUCAAGUCGCGUGUGAAAGCCCCCGGCUCAACUGGGGAGGGUCACGCGAUACUGAUCGACUCGAAGGCAGGAGAGGGUAGUGGAAUUCCCGGUGUAGUGGUGAAAUGCGUAGAUAUCGGGAGGAACACCAGUGGCGAAGGCGACUACCUGGGCUGUUUCUUGACGCUGAGGCGCGAAAGCUAGGGGAGCAAACGGG